rnacentral:ncRNA from 1 species
GGUUGAAGCAUUGCGCAUUCAAGAUUUCCUUCUUUAGGGUGGUAGAAG